UGAUUAUGUUACGUCGUUGAUUAACAUACCAUAUACCAUAAAUUCUUUGGGGAACAUAAUAUUUUUGUCUGCUGCAUGGAGAAUUUAUUUAUUUUAUUUAUUUUUUGGUUCUACACUUGCACAUUAACCUAUGGUGCACUGUUCCUAUUUUUAAAUCUCAGAUCUCUAUAUCUUCCAUUAGUAGAAUAAUUUCCAGACAUGUCUUGUCUGCCUCACUGCUGAAAAUAUUACUUAUCUCAUAAUGUAGACGAUGGCUUCUUCCUUGCAGCUAAAAUUUUGUUUUUCUGGUUGAUCAUAAAUUUUAUCUAUUCUCUUCCCUUGAGUACCAGGUUAAUCUUGGUUCCACCGUGGAUACACCGGCCCUGGUGCCUCUCGAUGCAGAUGUUUCUGCUUCGAUCCACAAUGGAUUUGGGUCGAAUGACCCUAGGAGAGGGGAAAGUGAAAUAAAAGGUGUUGAACUUAGCCCAGAACAUUUAGCUCCAGGGGCUAACACACCAACAGAGAUCUCUCUUUUUCAGACGCUGAUUGCAGCUUUAAUUCCUGAAGAAGGAAAUCAAGAGCUUUGCAGCAGUGGAAAUGAAGACUGCAGAUUUGAUGUGUAUGGAUCUCGUUUUGAAAUGGAAAAAGAUAUGGAUUCACAUACUUUCUGCUCGCUGAGGUCUCAAAAUCGUGAUAUUUCCAGAUAUUCUGCUUCUAAUGGUUACAGGAUAAACGCUAAUGGAGAAAUCUUCUAUGAACUGGACCCCACGUUUCCAGAUCAUGAUGGCAGUUCUAUUCCAGACACUGGAAUUAUUCCAGUCUGCAAUCAUUUGCAAAAUGGUUUACUUUCAGACCAGAUUACACCUGGCGUAGAAUGUUCUGAAUAUCAGUAUAGUAAUAUGUCAAUAAAUGAAAGACUUCUCGUGGAGAUUCAUAGUAUUGGACUUUACCCAGAUUUAGUGGUAUGUUUGUUUUUCCUUCAAUAUGCAGAUAAUCUUGUAUAAUACGUUAUAUUUUCACAGCCUUUCCCUGAUUUCUCUGCAUUCCUGUGAUUGCCAUGCCCUUUUGAUCAGCCUGAUUUGUGUCAGAAUGGAGAAGAAGAAAUCAGUGGAGAUCUUAGUAGAUUAGAUGAGAAGUAUCAAGAAGAGGUAAGAUCAGAUGUUUACCUCUCCUCUUCCUAUUUCUCUACUGCUCUGUCAAUUCAAAGAAAUAAGAGAGAGAGAAGGAAAAGAAAAGAACCCUAAAGGAAAAAGAAAAGAAAACGAGGGUCUGUACACUUAUUACGCAAGGAUUUUGGAAGUUUCAUAUCCUGCUUAGAUCAUCAAUCAUGAUGCUCAGAAUCCUUUUUCAUUUAUGGAGUUGAAUACCAAUGGAGCAUGCAACUAUUAGUUUUCCACUCUCUCGGUGGUUUACCCUGUAACCUUGAUGUCGAUGAGAUGUACUUUUUGUGUGAAGUUUCUUAAAAUCACAAUUUUCUACUCAACUAUUCUCUUUUUGUUCUUCUGGUUAAUGUUGAAUCUGAACAUGUUUAGUUCUGGAAUUUAAUUCAAACCUCUGAUUUUGCAUAUGUUAGAUACUUCUUUUUAUAUAGUGAAGCUUCUAGAUUUCAGUGAAGUGUAUUAUUCAUGUCAGGAGCCUUUCUCAUAUUUUAGUUGAUGAAUAGGUUUCAAGGAAGAAAAGUUUGCUUGGCAAACUGCUAAAUUCAGCUUCUGAGGCUAAAGAGCUUCAAGAAAAGUAAGGAGUUUGUUCUUUAUUUUCAGACGUGGUUUAUUUGUGAUUUUUACUUGACUAUGAGUGCUUUUUGUCAAUAACCCAAACACUUUAUUCUAUCACAGCCUGUUCGAACAGUGUGCUUUAGAGAAACUUGUAGGAUUGGCUUACGAAAAGUACCGGGUAUUUUUUCUAUUCUAUAUCCUUUCUUUAUUUAAUUGAUUUUAAAUGCGCAUUUCCCUUUUAAAAGUAUGUAAAUAUAAUUUGUCUGCGUCAUGGAUUGACACAUCAAAUUUAUUUGUGAAUAUUACAUGUAUAUCCAUCAAGUUUGUUUGUUACAGGGAAUAUGAUUUCGUCCAUGUCAAUAUAUUCUUCCACCUUAAAAUUUAUGACAAUCCUAGUCAAUCAUUUUUUCCUUUUUUACCCUACCUUUUUUAUCAACUGGAAAAAUUAGUACAAGAGGCAGGGUGACAUACCAGCCUUACCUCCGAAGGUCGAGGAAGAAAAAGAAGGAUUAGCAAAAGCUGAAAUUGAAAGUACUACUCUUGUUAUAGUGAGCCAUUACAAAAUUUAAAUUUGGGAGUACUACACUCAUUACAACAAUAGAGACAGAGGAAUGCAGUAACUCAAUUGACCCAAGAAAACUCAAGAAAAUAAUAUAACUAAGUCUGCAAGCAGGCACUAAAGACAACCAAAUACACAAGCAAAUUACACAUAGCAUGAGUAUGCAGUCACAUGUGCAGUAAAUUAAAUAAAAUAAAGUAAUGCAAUGAUGGAUCCUACAGUAGGCUGGAAAGCAAAUAUGCAAUAACCUAUGGCCUAAUAUGCAGCAGUCACACUACAUGGAAAUGAAUAAAUCCUACUGCUUUCUCUUCCAUUGUCCACUUGAGACUCAUUCUCAAAUAUAGAAAGCAAACUUUGGUAUGGAUUUAUUAUCAGAUCUGGGAGAGAUUCAUCACCGAAGUUUUGGUAAGCAUUGGAAAAGCAUCCCAGCAGGUUAUUGAAGAAGUAGACCAAUCUCAAUCAUCUACUUUGCAUUAGAAAACAAGGCUGUUUAGUCAGUUUCUUUGGGGCCUGCAGAUAGGGAUUCUCGUUCUGUCUGUAUGUAAGAUGCCAAUAAUCGUCCCCAUUAAGUCUUUAGCAUAUAAUAUUCUGCUCUAUUUAGUUUUGUUAUCUUUAUUUUUUAUUAGUCAGUCUUAGAAUCUUGUUCAGUCUUAAAAUCAUGUGACCAUUAUUAUUGAAUCUAAUGCUGUUUUAGUUGUUGAAUCUGCCGGACAUUUUGUAUGUCAAUCCUGAAGAUAUAGUUACUAACACACUAGGAAAUUCCAUAUCUUAAUAGAACGGAGAUUUUGGUAAGAUUAUUGAUGUUUGCUAUGGGAAUGCUUUAUGUACAAUUGUAAACAUAAUCAAAUAUCCCUACCCACCUAAACAAGAAAAACAAAAGAAAAGAUUAAGAAGAUCAGAGACAAAAACAUAUUAAGCCCUUGUUUGAGCCCCAUUUUGGAGGAGAAAAUGAAUUUUUGAAUAGUGUAUUGAUGGGAAAUGUAUGGCUAAAAAAUAAGAAAAAUUUUUGAUUUGCGUAUAAUAUUAUUUUAUUGAAAAAUGUGUGAUUGAAAUGGUGUCAAAUUACUGUUGAAGAAUGUAUUUUGUUGAAAAAAUGGGGCUCAAACAAGGGCUAAAUAUGAAAAAGAAGAAAAACGAACAAAGACUGGAGAUUGCUUCCUUCUCGAAAGUCUAGUUUCCUUAUAUUCACCUAUGGAUUGAAGGAACGAAAAAAAUAAUAUGACUUCUAGAAUCUAGAUCAUCUUUGGGUUGGCUUAAAAAGUUACUUAAGUUUAAUAAAUGAAUAAAUUUAAAUAAUAGUCAAUGUUGGAAAUGAUUAGUUAUUUUGAUAGUAAGGUCAGAAUUACUUUCAAAUGUGUUACCAAAAGUUAUUCGUCAUCCCUCCCAAUGGAGAUCCCUUUCGUCAAAUCCAAAACCACCCACCCAACACCUAAUCACCCAACCACCGCCUAACCACUAGUCGGUGCCGACGACAACUACGACGACGGCCAUAAGGCCCCAUUUGACAAACCCCAAAUCAUCGGCAGCCACAACUUGACCCACACAUAGGCGGUGCCCUAGGUGGAAACCUUAGCAUCACCAUCGAAAUGCUAUAAGUAGAGGCAUGCUUUUUUGGGUUGACAUGGAGGUCCUAGGCGUCGGCAAACAAGGCGGAAGGGGGGAGUCGAGUUACAUUAGGCACCAUCUGGGAUCCCAUCCCAGUUUACGCAAGAUGUGGCCGUCCUCCUGAUAGACGUGCCUGACCGGCGGACUUUGCAACCAUUCUGACGUCGAAGGGUCUGUGGCGAGGAGCACGCUCCGCUUCGACAGCUCGUCCGUCGACGUGUGAAGCCCACAUGUCUUCGCUGGAGAGUCUGAAAAAUCCUCUCAUCGAUUUUGGUUCAUCCUGCCAGCCUGUUCUAUCGUUAGAUACGUCAUUUAUACACAAUCAGGGGAAAAAGUUUGCUGAUGCAUACAGUAUGAUGGUUUUCAAUUGUCGUUUUAGAAUUGAGGGGAAGGAGUUUGCAGUGAUUGUUAAUGAUUUCAUAACUGUUAUGAGGACAUAAUAGAGUUCGAAGAUAUUGAAUGCAAUCUACAUGGAGAGGUUUGGUGCACUCUGGAUGGUGAAUAUGGUGGAUAAGUUGAGGGUGGCUAGUAAGUUGAAGGAUUUUGUCACUAAGUUCAAUGAGUCUUCAAGAGCUUUUUUGGCACAACGUUGUGAGAACAGUCGUCCUAGGUACUUGAUGGUACAUUGUAUGUGAAGGGGCAUCAGAAAGGAGUUGUGAUGGUGCCGAAAGACUUGAAUGGAGAGGGAUCGGCAUCAAUUUUGCUGGUGUUUUAGGUAGUUGUCAAUUCAUUCGUCACUAGAGACGAGACCAAAUGUCGAAUGGUGCCCGAAAGUAAUCAACAAGGAAUGACUUAAUGCCGGAGUUACGACGAACUUACAGGCUCCGCAGAAUGUUGAUCAAUGGGUGCUAAUGCGAAAGGAAAUGGUGAUUAAUGGGAGUGAAAAUGAAGGUUAAUUUAUGUUGCCUAAGGUUAUGGAAGCAAAUGCAGAAGGUGCACAUGGUAUUUUUUUGAAUAGCGCUGAAAUAAAGGCCCGUGUCUAGGCAUUAAACGGGGAGUUGCUGGAAUCAAUCAGGCUAUUGGGAAGUGGGUUUGAAGCGGGCUCCUAGAUAAUUUGUCACAAGUGUGGGGUGGGCAUGGAUGAGCCUUCGACGAUGGGAAAAAAGUAGCGAGUUUGGCUCCUAAGGAGUUAAACCGAAGGUGGUCCAUACGAAAGAAAAACAGGUGAUGAUUAAGUCCAUUUACGAUUCUCAGGCAUGGAUUGUAGCGGUGUACUCUAGUAAUGACGAUAGGGUCGGUUUAGUGGGGUUGUAUAGGGAUGUUAAAGACUCAGGGAUCAAAGCAAAUCGGGAGGUGGUAACUUGGUCCGAGGAAGGGGAGCCGAGUAUGGCGAAUAAGGAUUCAGUGACAAUGGGUGCGAUGGACACGAUUUCGUUAGUAGAGGGAGUUUUGUCAAUUGAGCAAGCGACGGGGUAUGUAUUGGUAGAGAAUUCAGUUUCAGCAAUUGUGAAAGAGCACGAGGCGACAAGCCCGACAACUAUGAUUGUGAACACAUACAAUUGGAGGUACUCUAAGUGCCUCAAAGGAAGGGACUUAGAAAAUGAAAAAGCUCUAGUGGUGUAGGUAGAUGGAGUCAAGAAAGGAGAAAUAGACAGUGAUGCAGGACAGGUGGAGGAAGUGAAGGGACAUAUCUAUGAUCGUUUGGAGUGUUGUCACGCAAAAAAUAUAGAAUCCACUCAUGGAGGGAGAAGUCCUUGCCGUAUCAGGUACUAAUCUAUUUUGAAGUUAGACCCCCCCACCUUGGAAUUAGGUUCUUCAAAAAAUUCAGGACUUCAGUAAGAUGGUUGGUGUGUCUUGUGAUGGAUAUGAAAGUAGACUCUUGUAAUUAUUUGAGGAACUGGAGGCUAGUAGGGGCAGGGAAUGAGUACACAAGGAGUUAAAUCAAGAAGAAGGGGUGAUUUUAACUUAAGUAACUCGAAUGGUCAGUAAACCAUGGCGUUAAGGGUAGUGACUCAAAGAAAGGAAUGUUAAGGAGGAUGAUGGAGUGCUAAAAUGAUCCUAAAAAUUAUUAACUGGAAUGUGAGAGGGCUUAAUGAAUAGGUGUUCGAAUCCUGUUAAGGGGAUGGAGAGCGGAUCUUGUCUGCCCACAAGAAACUAAGUCGGAGUUCCUCUCGAGGGCCGUGGUUAGUAACUUAUAGGGGACAUGAUGUAGGGUAUCAAUUUUUGGGGUCAUCAAGGGCUUUAGGAGGCAUGCUAAUCAUGUAGGACAUUAGAGUUUUCGAUAUGGAGGAGGUUAGUGUGGGGUUAUUCUUUGUAUCGCACUCAUUUAGAAAUAUUGGGGAUAGAUUCAAAUGGAUGUUUAUAGGAGUUUAUGGGCCUAACUAUGAUGAGAGUAGAGGGGGUUUGUGGGAUGAAUUGGCUGGUAUGAUAGCUUAGUGGAAUCUCCCAAUGUGUAUUGGGGGUGAUUUUAACAUGAUACGAUUUCCUUUUGACGAAUCUAACGACGGGAGACUAACGGGGGCUAUGAAGGACUUUUCAGAUUUUAUUUGGGAGAAUAUGUUGGUGGAUAUGCCAAUGAUUGGAGGAGAUUUUACUUGGUCAUCUAAUCGAGACCAUUAUGUUCUAUCUUAUAUAGAUCGAUUCUUGAUUAGUGGAGAGUGGGAGGCUAAGUACUCAGUUGUCGCGCAAAGGAGAUUAGGGAGAGUGUAUUCCGAUCAUUUCCUAUUCUUUUAUCUUGGAAUACAAGGGAUAGUGGAAGAAUGUCUUUUAGGUUUAAGAAGAUGUAGUUAAAAGUAAAAGGCUUUAGGGAGUGAGUAUGGACUUGGUGGGCUUCAUAUGAUGUCAAGGGAUCUCCCAGUUAUGCGUUAGAUUAGAAGUUGAAGGCUUUGAACGGGGAUUUAAAGAGGUGGAACGAGGAGGUGGUGAGCAAUGUAAACUGUUGUAAAAAUUAAAUGUCUUUCAGACAUGGAAGAGUUGUUUAGGCGGGAGGAGAGUCAAGGUUGGUUAGGGAAGAGGAGAGACGUGGAGUAUUAAGGGGAGAGUUGGAGAGGUUGGUGGAGAUAGAGGACAUUUCUUGGGGUCGCAUGGUUGAAAGAGGGGGACAAAUGCACCAAGUUUUUCCAUAGGGUCGCUUAUUCUAACGGGCGCAACAAUUCUAUCACAUUGUUGGAGGUAGAUGGGGUUACUUAUUAGGAUCCAAAGUAUAUCGGGACCCAAAUGGUGAGAUUUUAUCAGAAUCUUUAUUGAGAGCUGUUUGAGUGGAAGCCAGAGUUAGAGGGAUUGAAUUUUUCUACCAUCACGGAGGAGGAUGGUGGUUGGUUAAAGAGACCACUUGGGGAUGAUGAAAUUAAGGAGGUGGUAUUUAGUAUGAAUGAUGAUAAGGUAUCAGGAUCGGACGGUUUCUCGUUCUCAUUUUAUAAGGCGUGCUGGGAAGUGGUGCGACCAGACAUUAUGGAUGUUCUCACUUAUUUUUUUGAGUGUGGUAGGUUUUUGAAAAGUUUUAAUGUGACAUUUAUUGUGCUGAUUCCCAAGAAAUCAGGAGCAACUGAUAUUAAGGAUUUUUGCCCUAUUAGUUUAGUCAGUGAGUGUACAAGAUUAUUGCGAAAGUUCUGGCAAAUAGAUUAAAAGAAGUGCUAAGGAAAGUUGUCUAAGUUUCAGAAUGCUUUUGUGAAAGGGCACGAGAUUUUAGAUUCUGUACUUUUAUAGCGAAUGAAUGCAUUGACUCAAAUUGCUCUUGGGAGUUCUAGUGAUGCUAUGUAAGCUCGAUAUUUAGAAGGCUUAUGAUCACGUGAACUUGGGGUUCCUUUUGUACUUGCUUAGGUGAUGUGGCUUUGGGAUAAGUGGUGUAAGUGUUAUCAAUUUUAUAUCUCUACUAUAUUUUCAGUUUUGGUCAACGGUACUCUUGAAGGUUAUUUUAGGAGCAACAGGGGCUUAAGGAAAGGGGAUCCUUUGUUUCCAUUACUGUUUGUUAUUGUAAUGGAAGCUUUCAGUAGAAAGCAGGAGAAAGCUUUGAUGGAGGUUUGUUUGGGAAAGGUGAGCGAUGGCCCGAUCCUUUAAUGCAUCCUGCUGCUCCGCGGAGAAUUCCCCUCGCGGAUGGGGGAUCGAGGCUCGCUGUACGAUGCUAUCGAGUUCCCCCCUUAAGGGGCUUUACGGUUGGUCACGUGCAGGUGUCCCAUUUGUCAUUUACAGAUGAUACACUGAUCUUAUGGGAUGUAGAUGAUAAGUAAUUUAGGAACUUGCGCUGUUUGCUUCUAUGCUUUGAAGCGGUGUUUGGAUUGAAGAUAAAUCUGGCGAAAUUUGAGACUAUACCAGCAGAAGAGGUUGCUAAUGUAAAGGAGUUGGUUGAUAUAUUGGGUUGUAGGGUUGUGCAGUUGUCUAUGUCAUAUCUAGGGCUCUCUUUAGGGGUACGAUGUAAAAGUUUACAUAUUUGGAAUUGUAUUGUAGAAAGGGUGGAGAGGAGGUUAGCGGGGUGGAAACGUAUGUACCUAUCAAAGGGAGGUCGGUGUACUCUCAUUAAAUCUACUCUCUCUAAUCUUCCGUCUUAUUUUUUAUCAUUGUUUCCUAUUCCUAUUGUAGUAGCAAAUAGAUUAGAGAGGAUUUGAAGGGAAUUUCUUUGGGGAGGGUUGGGGGAGGAGAGGAAAGUUUAUUUGGUUAAUUAGGAUGAUGUUUGCUCUCCUAUGACGAUGGGGGUCUUGGAUUUAGGAGCCUUGUUUUGUUUAAUAAGGCUUUAUUGGGCAAGUGGUUGUGGCGAUUUGGAAUGGAAAUGGAGUGUUUUUGGAGAGAAAUCAUAGGGGCGAAGUAUGGUGUGACGGAGGGGGGUUGGUACUCGGUUAAGGUUCGUGGUUCUUAUGGGGUGAGUUUGUUGAGGUAUACUUGACGAUGGAGUGACCUCCAGGAUAGAUUGAUUUUUGCGGUGGGGAAUGGUAAUAAUAUUAGAUUUUGAGAUGAUUGUUGGUGUGGAGAUCAACCGCCAAAAUUGGGGUUUCCUUGCAUCACAUUGCCCUUGGGCCUUCUGCUACGGUGAAUUAUGUAUUAAGACAUUCACAAUAGGAGUUAUAGUUGGAAUAUUACUUGGUUUACAAGAUUGAGAAUUUGAUGAUUAUGUGCUGUUCUCCUUACAUGAAGUGGAAAUUCGAGUAGGAGGGUGAUCAUAGCAAGUGGAGGUUGGCACAUGAUGAUAUUUUUUCAGUUUGCACUUAUUUUAGAUCCCUUUUGGGACCUGUUUGAGAGUUCAUUCCCCUGGUAAAAGGUUUGGCAAUGUAAAUUGUCUCAAUGGGUGGCAAUUUAAACAACUUGUUCAUUCAUUGUGAUAGUGUUCGUUGGUUGUGGAAUAGUAUUCUAGCGUCUCAAUAUAUAGAUUGAGUGUUGCCUAGGCGCAUAGAAGAUGUGUUGCAUGCAUGGAGGAGAAAAUUUCGUGAUAAGGAUAGCAAGUUUGUAAGGGAUCUUAUCCCGCAAUGCAUUGUAUGGUGUGUGCGGAGAGAAAGGAACAGUCGCUAUUUAGAAGAUCAAACAUGGACGACAGAGCAAAUCAAAGGAUUGUAUUAUCUGACUUUGUAUACUUGGUUUAAUGCCGCAACUUCUAAUCUUAUAGAAGGACUACCUAAUUUCUUACUGUUUCUUUCUUGUUUAAAUUGAUAAUGCACUUCCUGUGUAUCUUCUUUUGAUUAAUAAAAUUACCUGAUUACCUAUAAAAAAAAGUGUUAUGAACUAUGUGUCUAAUUAAGGAAUAAACAUGAUGUAUGGUAGGAAUAUAAAGUCUUGAAUUAUUUUCUUGUUAGAGAGGAUUAUUUCCUUUUGAGAAAUAACCUCUUCAUGUAUAUAUAUUUGGUGAAUAGUUCCAAAUCAAUUAACAUGGUAUCAGAGCUAGGUUCUCAAAAUUAGGGCUUGCGAGUUUAAGAAAAUUUGUGGAAUUGUUCUCGGUGGUGGCUUUUUUCUGAGUCGGUGCUUUCUGUGUUGGAUCGACACUUAUCGGAGGUAAUUGUUGGUGGUUGAAGAUCAGGAGAGCCUUCUGUAGCAGCGGAAAUUGGGUUGCAUCGACUGUUCAUUGUCUUUUUGUGAUUUUGACUCUGUUUCUUUCCGGCUCCACGACAGACAACCCUGUUGACGUUGCGUGUAGCGGGUGUUGGGUGAGAGAUCGUCGUUUUCUCUUGACUUCUCUGGCUUUAUCGUUUCCUCUUCUCCUUUCGGUGGGUGAGUCGUCGUGUGCAGCAAUCUUCUGUGGCACCUACUAUAAACCAUCACUUAUCGUCUCCAUCUGCUGCUUCACCUCAGGAUUCGUCACCCUCUCUUGAUCCCAGUCUUGAUCUUCCCAUUACCCUUCAAAAAGGUAAACGAUCACGUACUUAUCCUGUUUCUUCUUUUGUUUCUUACCAUGUAUUGUCACAGUCUUCCAAGUCCUGUAUUGCCUCUUUAGAGUGCGUGUCAUUACCAUAAUCUAUGGUUGAGGCUUUGUCCCAUAGUGGCUGGCGAGCGGCCAUGCAGGAAGAAAUGAUGGCCCUGGAACAUAAUCAUACCUGAGAGUUGGUUCAUUUACCCCUUAAUAAAAAGGCAAUCGGAUGUAAAUGAGUGUUUACAGUCAAGAUGAACCCUGAUGGAUCUGUUGCUCGAUUGAAGGCUCGUUUGGUUGCUAAGAGGUAUGCUCAGACUUAUGGUGUGGACUACUCUGAGACUUUCUCUCCAAUUGCUAAGCUGGCUUCUGUUCGGUUAUUCAUUUCUCUUGCUGCUACUUUUCAUUGGCCACUUCACCAACUAGAUGUUAAAAAUGCAUUCCUUCAUGGUGAUUUACAAGAAGAAGUUUACAUAGAGCAACCACCCGGGUUUGUUGCUCAGGGGGAGUCCAGUAAGGUCUGCAAACUGUGAAAGUCAUUGUAUGGACUGAAACAAUCACCACGUGCUUGGUUUAGGAGAUUUAGUGAGGUGGUUAUUGAAGUUGGCUUGCAAAGAAGUGUAUAUGAUCAUUCAGUAUUCUUUAGACAGUCUAUAGUUGGGUGUAUUUUGUUAGUGGUAUAUGUUGAUGAUAUUGUGAUUACUGGGAGUGAUAGUAGUGGCAUAAGUAUGUUGAAAGCUUUCCUAGGCACAAGUUUCAGACAAAAGAGUUAGGUCCCUUAAAAUAUUUCUUAGGAAUAGAGGUCUCUCGAAGUGGUAAAGGAAUUUGUUUGUCUCAAAGAAAAUAUGUUCUAGACCUACUAGAUGAGACAGGUUUAAUGGAAGUAAAACCAGUUGAUGCUCCCAUGAUAUCAAAUGUGAAACUUGGGCCUGAAGAUGGAGAUGUAUUUGUGGAUGCAGAGAAACACAAGAGAGUGGUGGGAAAAUUGAACUAUCUCACGAUUACUCGUCCAGAUAUUGCCUUUUCAGUUAGUGUUAUUAGUCAAUUUAUGUCAUCUCCCAGAACUUCAUAUUGGGAUGCUGUAAUUCUUAUAUUGAAAUAGUUUAAAGGAGCUCCAAGGCAUGGAAUUCUUUAUAGAGACCAUGGUCAUUGUAGAGUUGAGGGUUUUUCAGAUGCAGACUGGGCAGAUUAUCCUGUUGAUAGGCGUUUUACUACAGGGUAUUGUGUAUUCGUUGGAGGUAAUCUGGUCUCUUGGAAGAGUAAGAAAUAAAGUGUUGUAGCUCGAUCAAGUGCAGAAUCUGAAUACCGAGCUAUGGCACAGGUAACUUGUGAACUUAUGUGGCUACAUUACUUACUUGGGGAGAUUGGCAUCGAUAAGUCCUACUCUAUGAACUUGUGGUGUGAUAAUCAAGCUGCUAUUCUCAUUGCUACAAAUCCGGUAUUUCAUGAGAGAACAAAGCACAUAGAGGCAGUCUGCCAUUUUGUUUGUGAAAAGGUUAUAGCAAAUUUCGACCAAGCAUGUUAGGGUAGGAGAUCAAUUAGUCGAUAUGUUUACUAAAGCGUUAACUGAGACUCGAGUAAACUAUAUUUGUAACAAGUUGGGCAUGAUUGAUAUUUAUACUCCAGCUUGAGGGGGGGUGUUAUGAAUUUUGUGUCUAAUUUAGGAAUAAAUGUGAUGUAUGAUAGGAAUAGAAAGUCUAGAACUAUUUCUUUGUUACAAAGGAUUAUUUCCUUUUGAGAAAUAACCUCUUCAUGUAUAUAUAUUUGGUGAAUAGUAAUGAGAAACGAAGGUUUUUUCCAAAUCAAUUAACAAAAAGUAAAAUGUCCAAACAUGAUUGGAAACAAAGAGUUCAGAAACAUGUUAUUUUCUUCAGUAAAUACCGACAUCUAUCAAAUAUCACUUACUCUUUGGAGAUGUCAUUUCUUCUGUGGGGGAAGAGGAAUUGAGGGUUGUGCUGUUUGUUCAGAACCUUCGAUGGUUAUGUAAGGUUCUUGAUAAGGGAGGCUACAUAGUUGAGAGGAAUUAGUACCUUUGGAUCCUCAAAGCUUGAUGAUUCAAUGAGCCCUGGGAUUGGCUCAGUUUCAAUGCUUUGAGUGUAUAGGAUAUGACAGGAAAAAUCAAAAGAUUUUGGAUAGUGAAGUACCCUAGGGGGUCAGUUGUGAAUGAACUAGGAGGAUGCUAACGGAAGUCAAGCAGCACGAGUAGGGUUUGAUUCCGCGGUGGAUGGUAUGGUCAUAGUGAACUGAGGAAAGGAUGGAUUCUGAAAAGUUUUACUAGCUGGGCUUGUAAAUAGCAGGGAGCUUAACUGGAAAAAAUGUUCAGUAAUUCAGUGCUGGAAUUCAUGAAAGAAUGUGGAGAGAAGGGGAACGUUUCUGGUUUGAUGUAGAGAAGUAGAUUGGAAGAAUUCAGUAGUUUCAAACUGACAUAGAUCAAAUCAGAUGUCUUCAUCAACCAUGGGAAGUACAGCUCUUGCAGCAUAGUAAUAUUGAAGAAUAAAAUUCUGGGGCAAUGCCUGGUCUUAUCCCAAGCAAUCAUGGAUCAAAGGUGUCAAAUGAACUUCGACUUGAGUUUGUGAGGACCUGCCUAAAUUAUCUGCCUAACCACUUGAUGAAAAAGUUUAAGUUGUUAGAGAUGGUCACAUAUAUAUCAUUUAAAUAUUUUCUUCAAUGCGCCCUCUCAGGUGCUGGCGGGAUUUAUUUUUUUCAUCAAAGCCUAACACGUGCACAAUCUCACUAAAUGCAUGGUGGCUAGACUUGAAAUUAGGACCUGUACUUUGAUAUUAUACCAUGGGGAACCAUUUGAUUUAAAAGCUUAAACUGUUGAAGAGGGCCAUGUGAAUAUCAUUUAAAUCUUGUUUUGAACAUAACCUAAUAGCAAUCUGACCAUAAAUUGAUACAAUUUAGACACGUGCCACGAGAAUAACCAAAUGUCAACAAGUAUGGGAAUUACUGAAAUGCCUUAGACUAAGCAAAGAACUAACAUCUUAGACAAUGCCAAGACACGAUAUGCCACAGUGAAUGCUUCUAGAUGGACUUAGGAGGAUUAUUAUUCUGCAGGAGUAACUGUUAAUUGUGAUGGAUAGACAGCUGAUUUUUUAGGUUUCUGGUAGACCACUGAAUCAUUAGAUUCUGUAAAUUUGUAAUUGUUCUUCACCAACUUUGAUGCUUCAUUAAUAAGGUUAUUCUUUCCUUUGUGAACAAUGAGGAUUACUAAUUUUAUGUCUUGGGAUCUUCCACAAUGAUAUAACUUACUUAUGAACUCUCUCAGCAUUUAAACCAUAAGAUUUCUUCUUUUCCUUUUUAUAUGUUUACUUAAUCUGACUUCUUUCAAUUUCGUUUCAUGAUUAUUGUGGCCUUUUAUUCUGCAUAUUGGAUAGAUGAUGAAUGCUGCUCCUGAAUAAUCUUGACAGUAAUAAGUAGGUUAUCUGACUGGCUUGUGUGCAUGCAAAGUAACAAGGGUAAUUUUGGUGAGCAGUGAUAUGCACUUCAAAAGUCUGUUGGUUUUUGAGUUUUUGGUCUAGAGCUUUAUGAUUCUGGAGAAGUUCCUUCGGGCAUUUUUAUAUUGCAAUGGUUCUAGGAGUAUUUUUGUAUGGGGAGACAGGUUGGACACGCAUAGUUAGGGAUUGAUGAUGCUAUUUACAGUUGAUGUUUUCAGUCUUCACUUUGUACAAUUGUUAAGGAUUUAUGGUUUUAGAUAUGUUGGAUUUUAUGCGCAAUAUUAAAGAGAUGAAAAAGAUAAUCAACACAAGAAUUUACGUGGUUCGGCGGUGUGCCUACGUCCACAAGAGCGAAGCGAAGAUUUCUUUAUUCAGUAGUGAAAAAUAGGGUUACAACAUAUUAUUUAUUCCGUUCCGUUAGAUGCGCUCAGCUCCUCUCACUCCACUCCGCUCCGCGCCGGCAUCGGCCCAUUUGAUCCAAUAUCUGUGUUCCACUCUAUAUGAACUACAUGCACAACAAGAUACUAGUAUGGUGGGUAAGAUCAAUUUAUAGCUCCUUAGAAUGAGAAUUCAAAGGUGAAAAUUGUGGAACCAAGUUGCCCUAUGCAAUGCCUCUAUCUUCUUUUGCUUGAUUUUUACCUCCAACCUUUCACUAAUAAGCAAGAAUUAUCCUUUGGACGAUUUCAAUUCAUUCCAGAGAGGCUAUGCUGUAUACUAGAGUAAAGAGUAAAAAAGAAACCUCAAUUUACUUUUAGAUAGUUCCUUCUGGCCUCAAAGUAAAACACUCUCUAAGAUUUCGUACUCAGGCAAGUUUGUUGGUCUGUGUGAAAACCAGCAUGCAGUUCAAUGAUUACCAUUUUUCUUAGGGUUUAAAGUUAUUUUAAUACUUAGGUUCUUUUUGUUAGCCAUAUAUAAUUGCAUGUAUUUUGGGAUUUGAUUGUAAUUUAUAUUAGGUUAAUAGGCUAAUUAGUUCUUACCAUAGUUAGAAAACUUACCAUAAUUGUUGUAAAUCUUAUCUUUAUAAGAGAGGUACUCCCUCGAUGGAAGGGAUAAUUUUUGAACAAUUCAAACCAUUUUAACAUGGUAUCAAAGCCCUCCCUUUAGAAUUUCCCUUCGAGUCUCGAUUUACUUUUGGUGCGCUUCAAUUGAGGAAUUUUUCUUGGGGUGUCGGCAAUUUUUUGUUCAUGAAAUUUCUCUGGAGCAAGCUUCUUGGUCAGCAAAAUCGGCAAUUGGAGUUGUCUUCUUGGUCGAUAGAUCCCACUAUUGGAUUUUCUUGGUGGUGGCUUGUUGAUUUGUGAUUGUGCAGGGAAUUUUUUUAGCUUUCCUCUUCUCGGGCUCCACAUGGUAUAUCUUCUGUGUCAAAUAAAUUCUGCCGACGAUUGCGUCUCGGGUUCUCGCCGUUCGCUGUUCGAAUUUUGUUUGACAGAUUCUUGGAUUGCGUCUUCGCAUAGGGCGUCGUCUACAGGAAGUCGUCGUUUUUUCUCUACUGGACACAGACAGACGAGUGAGCAGGUAAUCUUUUGGGUUUCAGAAUUCGGGCUGUGCAUAUUGGGCUUGGGCUUGAAUCCUUUUAAUAUCAUUUUGGAUUUAUCUCUUAAAAUUUAGACCGUUAAUCUUGGAUUUGUUUUGGACAUUUUCUUCGGAUUGGGCUUGAGAUUAUUUAGUUGGACUUGAUAUUUUAUUGGACUUGUAUCUUUGCAUUUCUUCAUGUCUGGAGAAAAUUCAAUUAUUCGUUUUAAUGGAAAAAAUUACUCGAGUUGGGAAUUUCAGUUCCGGAUGUUUGUGAAAGGGAAAGAAUUAUAGGGUCAUUUGGACGGCUCUUCUAAGGCUCCGACCGAUAUCAGAGAACUUAGCUCAUGGGAAAGUAAGGACGCCAAGAAUAAGUUCUGUUGAACCACACAUGGUCAACAAUCUUCGUUCGUUCACUACUGCUAAAGAAAUGUGGGAUUAUCUCAGGCGUGUUUACUAUCAAGAUAACUCUGCCCAGAAGUUCCAAUUGGAGUUAGAAAUUGCUAACUAUAAAUAGGGUAAUCUCUCUAUUGACCAAUUUUAUGCUGGAUUUCUUAAUUUAUGGAGUGAAUAUUCUGGAAUAGUUUAUUCCAAAAUUCCCAAGGAAGCUUUAGCUGCUCUUCAAGUUAUCCAUGCUGAAAGUCAAAGAGAUCAAUUUUUUACGAAGUUGAGACCUGAACUUGAGACUGCAGGGCCUGGCUUACUGAACCGUACUCCUGUUCCCUCUUUGGACGUAUGUUUGGGAGAACUAUUAUGUGAAGAAGAAUGUCUUGCCACUCAACUCGGCAUAACCGAAGAAUCAAUGACUACUGAGAUGGUUAAUGUGGCGUACGCUGCUCAAGGAAAAGGAAAAAUGAAGACCCAGAUACAAUGCUACAGUUGCAAGGAGUUUGGGCAUAUUGCGAAGAACUGCAAUAAGAAAUUCUGUAAUUAUUGCAAAAAGGAUGGACACAUCAUUAAAGAUUGUCGCUUACGACCUCAGAAUAGGCAAGGCUCAACUUUUCACAACGCAAUCCAGUCUAACUCAGCUGUUUUGUCCUUUGCUUCCACUCCUACUGUUUCUUCGUCUACUCUUACACCUGAAAUUGUUCAAUAGAUGAUUGUUUCUGCUUUUUCUGCUCUUGGUCAUCAAGGUAAGAAAAAUCUACUUGUCUCUCCUUGGUUGGUCGAUUCUGCAGCCUCAAAUCAUAUGACAAGUAAUACAGAGGCUCUGAUUAAUAUUCGUAAGUAUAAAGGUGAUCAACAUAUUCAAACUGCCAAUGGGAGUACUCUUCCUAUUACAGCAAUUGGAAAUUUGGGAUCUUCUUUCACUAAUGUAUUUGUGUCACCAGAAUUAUCUACGAAUUUAAUUUCUGUUGGACAAUUGGUUGAUGAUAAUUGUGAAAUCCGUUUUAAUCAGAAUGGUGGUUGUGUGCAGGAUCAAGCGUCGGGGAAAGUGAUCGCGAAGGGCCUAAAGUGGGACGUUUAUUUCCUCUUCAAUUUUCCAUUUCUGAUUCAUUUGCUUGUACUGCUAUUAUUAAUAGUAAUGUUUGGCAUAAGAAAUUGGGACAUCCUAAUUCUAAUGUUUUGAUUCAUCUCUUAAAGAAUGGUUAUUUGGGCAAUAAAAAUUCAUCUUCUCAUGUGUCUUCUGAUUGCAAUUCUUGUAAACUUGGUAAAAGCAAAUCCUUACCUUUUCCUUCACAUGGUAGUCGUGCUUCCACAUGUUUUGAGAUUAUCGUAAGUCCCGUACUUUCGCAUGCUCAAUAUAAGUAUUUCGUAAUAUUUAUUGAUGAUUAUAGUCAUUUCACUUAGGUCUAUUUCCUUCGAGCUAAAACUGAUGUGUUCUCCAUCUUUCAAAACUUUGUUGCUUUUGUUGAGACCCAAUUUUCUACUAGCAUUAAGAUACUUCGUUGUGACUCUGGAGGGGGAAUACAUGUCCAACAAUUUCCAAGAAUAUCUAAAAACAAAAAGGGAUUCUCUCCCAACGAUCUUGACCUUACACUCCCCAAUAGAACGGGGUUGCGGAGCGUAAAAAAUGUCACUUUUAAGAUGUUGUUCGUACUUUAUUAAUUAAAUCUUCAGUACCCUCUAGAUUUUGGGUCGAAACUUUAUCGACAGAUGUCUAUUUGAUUAAUCGUCUUCCCUCUCCAAAUUUACAAUUUGACUCUCCGUAUUCUCGAUUAUUUAAUGUAGCACCUGAGUAUGAUUCACUUCAUAUAUUUGUCUAUGUUUGUUUUAUCCACUUACCUUCUACUGAAUAUCACAAACUUACAGCUCAGGCUGCUCGAUGUGCAUUCCUCGGGUAUAGUAAUGCACACAAAGGGUAUGUGUGUUAUGAUGUGGAUGCUAACAAAAUUCGUAUCUCUCGAAAUGUGGUUUUCUUUAACAACGAAUAUUUCUUCCAGUCUCGUGUUGUUCAUGAUUCUGCCUCUAUUUAGCUUCCUACGUUUGAUGAUAUAUCUUGUAAUGUUGAGCGCUUUAAGGCGGGAUUUGUAUACUAGAGAAGUCCCCUCCUGCCACCUUCGGACACUGAACCGUCGCCUGAUCCCAUCAUCCCUGAACCUCGAUGAUCUUCUUGGGUCUCACGCCCUCCAGAUAAGUAUGGUUUCUCGCAUAUUGCUAAUCAAGCUACCCUUGAUACUACUUCUGUGCCCAAAUUUUACUCUCAAGCUUCUAUUCAUGCAUUUUGGUGGAAAGCUAUGCAGGAAGAACUUCAGGCACUUUAGGAUAAUCAUACUUGGGAUAUUGUUCCAUAUCCUGAUGGGGUAAAACUUCUUGGAUGCAAAUGGGUAUAUACGAUUAAACUUCGGCCUGAUGGUACUAUAGAGAGAGAUAAAGCCCGAUUGGUGGCUCUUGGGAACUAUAAGGUGUAUGGUCUUGAUUAUGAGGAGACCUUCGCCCCUGUCGCAAAGAUGACUACUGUGAGGACUAUUAUGGCUAUAGCCGCUUCUAGAGAAUGGUCUCUCAAGCAGAUGGAUGUGAAAAAUGCAUUCUUACAUGGUGAUUUGAAGGAGGAAGUAUAUAUGAGUCCUCCUCCUGGUAUGUUCUCUCACUCUUCUACUGAGGUUUGUCGGUUGAGGCACUCUUUAUAUAGAUUGAAACGGGCACCAUGCGCUUGGUUUGAGAAGUUCCGUACCACUUUACUUGAUUUUCAUUUCACUCAAAGUCAGUCUGAUUCCUCCCUAUUUCUUAAACGCACUAUUGAUGGACUUGUUGUGCUUUUGGUAUAUGUGGAUGAUAUUGUGAUCACAGGAUCUGACACUCAGUCGAUUGUGCAACUUCAGCAGCAUCUUAACACCACCUUUCAUAUGAAAGAUCUUAGUUCUCUACAGUAUUUUCUCGGUUUUCAGGUGCAUUCCUAUCCUCAUGGUCUACUUAUACAUCAACACAAGUAUACCCAAGAGAUUCUCACCUCAGCUGGCCUUCAAUCUGGGAAUUCCGUGCUUACUCCACUAGAAGUUAAUUUCAAGCUCAGCCAAGAUGGAGGAGAACUCUUACCUGAUCCAUCCUUAUACCGACAGCUUGUAUGAAGUUUGAACUAUUUGACAAUUACUCGACCCGAUAUUUCUUUUGCUGUACAACAAGUCAGUCAGUUUAUGCAGGCUCCACGACAACCUCAUUUAGCAACCGUACGAAGAAUUCUUAGUUACCUCAAGGGUACAUCUGGUCGAGGGUUGUUUUUCCCUAUAGGGAAUUCUUUGCAAUUAAAGGGUUAUAGUGACGCUGAUUGGGUUGGUUGUGUGGACACUCGACGUUCAGUUACUGGUUGGUGCAUGUUUCUUGGUGAUGCACUUAUAUCUUGGAAGAGUAAGAAGCAGGAUCGUGUCUCGAAGUCCUCUACUGAGUAUCGUGCUAUGUCAUCCGCCUGCUCAGAAAUUGUGUGGCUUCGGGGUUUGUUAGGAGAACUUGGAAUCCCUUAGCUUGCUUCUACUCCGCUUUAUGCUCAUAACACCAGUGCUAUUCAGAUUGCCGCAAAUCUUGUAUUUCAUGAACGCACCAAGUAUAUUGAAGUAGAUUGCCAUUCUAUCCGUGAAGCCCUUGAUCAACAUGUGAUUACACUUCUUCACAUCUCCACGGAACAUCAAACUACAGAUGUUUUUACCAAGGCCCCUAUCUCGCCAAUGUCAUCAGUUCAUGAUUGACAAACUGAUGCUUUUUGAUCGACCAGUAUCAAUUUGAGGGGGGAUGUUAGCCAUAUAUAAUUGCAUGUAUUAUGGGAUUUUAUUGUAAUUUAUAUUAGGUUAAUAGGCUAAUUAGUUCUUACCAUAGUUAGAAAACUUACCAUAAUUGCUGUAAAUCUUAUCUUUAUAAUAGAGGUACUCCUCGAUGGAAGGGACAAUUUUUGAACAAUUCAAACCAUUUUAUCACUUGUUUCAAUCAAAAUGACUAGACAAUGUUCUAACUUUGUUGUUCACAGAUUUUUACAUCUCUAUUUGAUUCUAUUCAUUGGUCUGCAGUACAUUACAAACUAGCUCCAUUGGCAUCCUAGUUUCCUUGUAAUUGGAUGUGAAAUUUUUAAAUUAUUUUUUCCAGAGUUGUGGGGGUCCUAAUGCUCAUGGGAUGAAAAGUGCCAGUGGUAAAAUGGCAAAACAAGCUGCAUUGGCUUUUGUCAAGCGGACAUUGGAACGAUGUCGGGAAUUUGAUGUAACUGGAAAGAGCUGCUUUGGUGAGCCUUUGUAUAAAGAAAUUUUCCUUUCUGGAGUUGCACACCUCGGUGACAUACAAGCAGUGAAUUCAAGUGCUGAUAAUGAAUCUGGAAAGCAGCAGUUUAACACAUCUGGAUGUUCUAUUGAAGUUAGAACUUCAGGUUGGUCCCAUUGAUAGAUACCUGAAUGCUUAUCAACAUUUUAGUAUCUUUAAAUAAGUCUUACAUUUGCAGGUUUUCUGCAUUCUAAUUUAACUAGCACUACUUAGAAUAGAAACUAAUACAUAUCUCUGGCUAAAUCUGAUGGGACCAUCAGAUAUGUAUAUCCAUAAGCCCUGUGGAUGAGGUUUAUGUAUGAAACACGGUUCUCACGUUCUCAACCCUUGACAACAUGCAUUUGUGACUAAAUUUUUAUGAAAAUUAGCAUGAUAAGAUUUACUUUACUCUGAAGAUUGAAUGAUUUUCUUGCAAAAGAUUGUGGGCAAAAUAAAAUAAUGUGACAAAAACAUUUUUCCUGAUUAGUCUUUAAGACAUGCUUCUAGCUGUAAUGUGAAAUGUUUGAAGUUAAAAGGAUCCGAGUAGGUAGGUUAAUUUAGGCACAGUAUUGUAUACAUAGGGCAUUAAUGGUAUAAAAGACUUGUUUGACAAGCCUCUAGCUAUUUUUUCUUAUGUUAUGAUGGUACUUUUUUUGUCCAUUAUCUUAGUAUUGGAGGUGUUUUUUGUUUUGCAGCUCCCUUGGGAGCACAGCACAGCCCAUCUUCAAACAAUCAAGAAAUUUAUUCUUCUGGAGCUCCCAAAUCGGCAAAUCUAGGUUCUGAACAAACUACUGGCAAAGACAACAUCUGGUCGAAUAGGGCGAAGAAGUGCGAGUUACCGCCUGAUGAAACUGUUGGUGGUACACUUAGCUCAUCCACCAAUGUCUCAUCAGGCAUUGGAAGUUCUAUUUUGAGCAGCGCAAAAGGGAAAAGGAGUGAGAGAGAAGGAAAGGGAAAUAGCAGAGAGGCGCUAUCCAGAAGUGGAAGCACUAAAGUUGUUCGGGCUGCACUGGCCAAUGUCAAGGGAGAGAGAAAGCCUAAAGCAAAACCUAGACAGAAAACAGGUCAACUCACUGCUUCUGUCAAUGGCCCUCUUGGAAAGAUGUCUGAGCGGCGAAAAACAACAUUGCUUUCUGCACCCAUAUCAAAUGAGAGGAGUGGAAGUGGCACUGACAAUGAUAAAAAUGACGAUAAUGUAGACCUCUUGGAGGAACCCAUAGAUUUGUCUGGCUUGCAACUUCCUGGAAUGGGCGAUCUAGCUGUACAUGAUGAUCUUGCUGGUCAAGGAGAGGAUCUAGGGUCUUGGUUGAACAACAUUGAGGACGAUGUAUUGCAAGAUCAUGACUAUAUGGGUGGGCUUGAAAUUCCUAUGGAUGAUCUAGCAGACUUGAAUAUGAUGGUUUGACCUUUCAAUCUUUGUAUAUUCCUGUCUAUUAUACAAUCACAGGUGAAAAAUCGUUGUUCGUGGAAGACCAGUUACAAGGAUGUCAUGUGACUCAGUCCUGGCUGUGAGUGGGCCAUAUAUUCUUUUGGUUACUCCCUACACAAGUUGAGGUUUGAGUGAACCUCUGAGACGCUUGAAUGUUUUUCCUGUUCAAGUUGACACCUUGACUGUAAAGAUCAUUUUGUUUGACGUUAGUAUCUUAAUGAUAAGGUCUUAGAAAACCUAUAUUUUGGUUGUAGCAAUUACAUAUCAGAGAGCAAUGUCUUUGUACAUAAAAUUUAUAUUUUCAAUAAGUUACCAUUUUGUUUAUUUUGCAAUAUGGAGUAGGUGUUGUGAGAUGUUUUGACUUGUGUGUAUUAUGAGCUUCUAUUUCAGAUUUGAUUAAGUUGAUAACCUUAAAAGGUCGACUCCUUAUCUAUUGAAGUUACAGUUGCCCUAACUAUUUUGAGUGUGUAUGAUGCAGAAAGCCCUCAUUGUUCCCAUUGACAUCUGAGAUUCCUCGUUGAAUACGAAGGUAUUAACAGUGUAAGCUAAGAGGUGGUGCAUGUGCCGGAUUAUGGUCAAGUGGAUGAACUGUUUUAUUGGGGAUGCAAUCUACUGCAGACCAUAUAUCCUAUUUAAUCCCCAGGUUGACUUCCUUCAAAGUAUGCAUAAUUAACAUCCAGGACUUUCUCCGUGAUUGUUUAGUUAAAUGCUACUUAUAACUGGAGAGGAGCUACAAACUUGACUCCAGUAUAUAUAGGGUUUGCCAAUAUGUUGGUUAUCAAUUACUGAAUUGUAUGCUGUUGUGCUACUAAUGCAGCAUUUGUGAAGAAGUUCCGAGGCUUAUUUAAGAACUAGCUGCUUUUGAUUUUCCAAAAGUCACGUGCUCUUCACUAAUUUCCUCAUAUUGUCAUAGGAUAAUUAUAUAUUAUUCAUUUUAUUUCAUUUUUGUAUUAUAAAGUUUGUUUCAUUGACUAUGCAUCACUUAGUAUUGCAUAAUAUGUCCUCGAGAAAUUUCCUCUAAAUCAAGGAAAUAUUAUGAUUAUCUUGCUCCAGGGGUGAGAGAUUAUGUGGCUGUCUUUAUUUUCGUUGGAGUUACCCUACAGACUCUUGGAGGCUGAAUGCAUUUCUUGACUACAGUUAUUUGAAAACAGCAUGCCUUGGCAGCAAGUAUUUGAUGGCCCAAUAUUUUGGACACACUUCCUGUGCCAUCUGUCUUGGGAAAAUUUAUUCCUGCUGCUGUUCGAAGCAGCCCAAAAUAUAUUCUGUCACAGAUUCUCACUCCAGAUAUGUGGUAAAUCAUUGUUUUUACCUGUUUGAUUUUGAAGAUUUAUUUAUCUGAAUUUUAGCAAUUAGUUUUGCUAAAUUACAGGGGUAACAUCCUUCUGAAUAUUGUGGGUUUCAAUUUUUCUGAAGGUGUUUUUUCCAAUAAAAAUAUUUUUAAACACUGCAGACUAUUACAUGAAUACAAAACUUCUGUGCCAAUGAUGCAGUCAAAGUAAGUCCACUUAUGAUGCCCUAUGUUGCCUGCUACUCACAGUAAAUAUUUUUGUAUGAGGAUGUGGAGAAGUGAAUCCUUUUGUUCUGGUAUGUGGAUUUUUAUUAUUUAUAUCUGUCCAUCACACUUCACAAGUAGGAACAGUAUUCCUACCAAAUGAUAAAAGUUACAAAUCUCUGAGUCUCACAGCUUAAUGUUUAUUUCAUUCAGACAGGAACUCCUCUCCAAGUGGCAGCACUUGUACAAUUGAUUGUGCAGAAUAUGCUACCAGAAAUUACCUCUUCAUGUAAGGUAUUCGUAGUCAAUUUGUUUGAAGCAUUUUACUAAGUUCUUAUGUCAUUUUCAAAUAUCUAAACCUUUCACUGAUAGUACAAGCUAAAGAAUUAAAAAUCUGAAAAUAAAUCUAUCACAUUCGAAAAAUGUUGUGCUAAUAAAAAGGUCAGCGUUAAACAAAAUGUGGACGAAAUGAAAAUGCUUAUAUGAUUGUUGAUACUGCAAUGGAGGAUAAUAUGGAAGAGCCGUAUGAUUUCAGAACUUGUUCAGAUGUGAUGUAAUGCUAUCUGUAAAGUUGUGUGCAAGGCUUUAUUAGAUGUUUUAUUUUUAUUUAAUUGUUUUAUUUUUACUAAUUAAGGUCUAAUUUAUAUUUUUAAUUAUCUAGGGUUGAAUUUAUAUUUCAUUAGGAGUUUAGGAAGUAUGAAUGCAAUUUUAAUUAGGUUUGCUCUAGGUAUUAGAGCCACAACUGUAUUUCAGGGACAUUUUGAUUGAUUGACAAAUUAUAUUAAUAUAAAUGUGAGUUUUUUCUUCAAUACUGAACCAAAUCAAGGUUUUCGCUUGUUAUUGUUCUUGCUCACUUCUAUCUGCAUCAAGAUGGCCUGCACCAAUUUGUAGAAUAUCACUUGAUACAUUAGGUUAUCCCAGGGAAACAAAUUAUUCCAGAAAUUUGGCAAAAAGUGACAACAUUGAGUAUUUACAAGUGAAGUUUGGCCAAGGAGUGCACCAAGAGAUAACAUUUGACAGAAUAAAUAAGACAAAUUGCAUCCUCUAUCCCCAAACUAUACCCCAUUUGCAGUUUUAUCCCCAACAAUUUUUCUUGGCACUGAGCACCUCAACUUUGUUUCCAUCCAAAAUGGUUGUUAAGUUGGCAACGAAAGGCAUUCACACUUAAAACUCAAAUAAACAAAAAAAUAAAUACAAGGAAGGAAGGAGGAAGAAGAAAAGAGAAAAAAAAAAAAAAAAAAAGAAGAAGAAGAAGAAAAAAAGGAAAACAAACACCUUCUUUCUCAAUCCUCUGCAGCACCCACCGCCACCAAUGCUACCUCUUCGCGUGCAAAUGUGAGUAUAGGGUGGGGCUGCGAGUGUAAUUAAUGUGGAAAAAAAUUAGAAAAAGGCAAGAGCUUGUUUUGUAGGUAAAAUGUGGAUGAAUAACAAAAUCAUAAUAUAUUGACAAUCAGUUGCAGUAAACCUCUGUUACCUUGGUUUAUCUGAGUUGCGCAACCAUUGUCGUCUAUAUAGUCCUUUUGAGAACAAUUGUUCAAUAACUUAUAUUCCUGGCAUUCAUGUAGAAGGAACUGCAGAUAUGCACCUUGGAAAGCAAAAUACUUCUAGCAAUCACUAUCUUGAUAUUGUCAAAGCCAUGCUCUUGGUGAUCUGUUUGGGGCUUUCAAUAUAUAUGCUGGGCUUUUUGACUGAAAACUGGGAUGGAUCGUGGUCAUGAGUACUUUACUUUGUUAGCAUUAUGGGAAUAUGAAGGCGGAUGGUUUCCUCGUGCUGCAUUAUUAUUGCAAGUUUAAUGAAAGGGUUUGUUGGGUGCAGUUACCCCCACUGGAGUUUGAGGGAAGGUCUUUGAGAUGGAAAAGAAAUAGUGAGAUGUCAUGUAAAUUGUAAUUCUGACGAAUCAAUGUGAAAAAACUUGUUCUUUUUGUUACGUAUUGUCAUAAUUAGCCAACCUACUUGGGCCUAUGGCCCACUCAAUCCGAACCAUGUGGCGCUCUAACCGAGGUGGCACGUAUGGCCGAGGCCCUUCAUGUCGAGACCCAUAUACCGAGGCCUGUGAAAGUAGCCGAAGCCCUAAAGCGGAAGUAUUACAUAUGGCAGAAGCCCUGAAUCCAAAGCCGAAGCAGAAGCCUCCGAACCGUGAAGGAAUGUCUUCCAUGAUUACUUCUCCCAAGAGAUCUUCUACAUAAAGAUCUUACUUGAAUGAUUGAUGAAACGUUUGUCAUAAGUGUACAUGUCAAGUUUUUUCAUUAGCAUGGGGGUUCUGCAUAAGCAAUAAAUGCGCAGCAAGCUAGCAAGUCAAGGAUGAUGCCUAGGAUUGGAUGUUUGGAUUAAAGAGAUGAGGCCGCGUGCCACCUCAUCCAAGGACUGUCAUGUACCACUAUAAAUACUUCCCUUGUGUAACAUUAAAGGGCUAAUGCAAGAAUCAAUACAAGAAACCAUACUUUACUCUCUUUCAAAUUAUCUUGCAACACAAUACAAGUUAAUACAUAUUUACAUGCACAUUCAUGAGCACUUAUUGGUAAUUAUUGUACAAUCGGAUUACGAACAUCCCAUCGGAUUCCGAACGUUCUCG
rnacentral:lncRNA from 1 species